rnacentral:rRNA from 1 species
UAGCUAACGUGAUAAAUCGACCGCCUGGGGAGUACGGCCGCAAGGUUAAAACUCAAAUGAAUUGACGGGGCCCGGCACAAGCGGUGGAGCAUGUGGUUUAAUUCGAUGCAACGCGAAGAACCUUACCUACUCUUGACAUCCAGAGAACAUUCCAGAGAUGGAUUGGUGCCUUCGGGAACGUCUGAGACAGGUGCUGCAUGGCUGUCGAUUUAUCACGUUAGCUA